rnacentral:lncRNA from 1 species
CUAUGGGCUGUUCCUCAUGAAAAUAAGAGGAGAAGACCGACCAAACUUGGCUUAUAUAUGAGCUAGCUUGAUGCAUGGUUGCAAAGCUAAAACAUCUACCACUAAAGAAGUACUGAUCAUAUAGAUCAGUUCACUUAAACUAGCCUUUAUCAUUGGCCAUCAAAACUGACCUGAUAGCAAAAUGAUUGGAGUCCCAUGGUGGCAGA